rnacentral:rRNA from 1 species
GACGAACGCUGGCGGCGUGCCUAAUACAUGCAAGUAGAACGCUGAAGGAGGAGCUUGCUUCUCUGGAUGAGUUGCGAACGGGUGAGUAACGCGUAGGUAACCUACCUGGUAGCGGGGGAUAACUAUUGGAAACGAUAGCUAAUACCGCAUAAGAGUAGAUGUCGCAUGACAUUUGCUUAAAAGGUGCAAUUGCAUCACUACCAGAUGGACCUGCGUUGUAUUAGCUAGUUGGUGAGGUAACGGCUCACCAAGGCAACGAUACAUAGCCGACCUGAGAGGGGGAUCGGCCCAACUGGGACGGAGACCCGGCCCAGACUCCUACGGGAGGCAGCAGUAGGGAAUCUUCGGCAAUGGACGGAAGUCUGACCGAGCAACGCCGCGUGAGGGAAGAAGGUUUUCGGAUCGUAAAGCUCUGUUGUAAGAGAAGAACGAGUGUGAGAGUGGAAAGUUCACACUGUGACGGUAUCUGACCAGAAAGGGACGGCUAACUACGUG